rnacentral:rRNA from 1 species
GUGCCAGCAGCCGCGGUAAUACGUAGGCAGCGAGCGUUGUUCGGAAUUACUGGGCGUAAAGAGUGCGUAGGCGGUGCUCUAAGUCUGUUGUGAAAUCUCCCGGCUCAACUGGGAGGGUGCGGCGGAAACUAGAGUGCUAGAGUAUGGGAGAGGUAAGCGGAAUUCCUGGUGUAGCGGUGAAAUGCGUAGAUAUCAGGAGGAACACCUGUGGUGUAGGCAGCUUACUGGACCAUGACUGACGCUGAGGCACGAAAGCGUGGGUAGCAAACAGGAUUAGAUACCCUGGUAGUCC